AUGUGUGGCCAACUCUUUCCAUUAGGGAUUCAAAGGAGGUUCUUCCUAGAGGACCUGGCGACAAGUUUCCUGAGAUCACAGGAGGAUUCAGGUGACCUCAGGAGGUCUGUAUCAGGACUACGAGAUGAGACCAGCUCAGGGCUUUAUGCAGUUGGUCUUGAAAGCCUCCAAGGAUGGAGACUGCACAACCACGAGUCUGAUCAGCUUGGCAGAACGUGGAUGUCCACCUGGGCUGCACAGCUCAACCCACACAGACCUACAACUUUGCAAGAGUAUGAGAAACAACAACAGCAAAGCAGACUUUGCAAGAUUUCCCCCAUGCAUGUCAGUCCUUCAGCUGACUUUUCAUUAUACUUGGCCAGUGGUGCAGAAAGGCCCCUUCCAACCCAAACUGUCCUGAGAUUCAGUGAUGGGUCAGCCUGGGAUGGAGCCACCGAUUUGGAAGUUGUUGUGUAUGACUAUCACUGGAAAUUGAAUCGUGAAAUCCAGAGGGAACUGAUCCUCUCAGAUCCUCCAGCGCGGUGCUUGCUUAGAGUCCGCCUGAAGCAUGCACGGAUCCAGAUUUGUGCCUCUUCUCUCCCCACUUCCUUACACCAUGUCAACAUUACCUAGAAAACAUACAGAACAAGAAGGGAAAAAAACAAAUGUAGAACAUCCCAAAGACAUCGUGAAGUGCUGUCUGCUGAAAGUGAAACGGAGAUUGGAUUCAUGAAGUGGAUUAAACCAAUAAAUAUGAUUGCUUCUUUGGAGGCUACA
rnacentral:lncRNA from 1 species